CGUUUUGCUGUCCAUUCUUUUCGUCACACUGAAUCCAUAGCGAAUUUGGCCGGGGCUGAAACCCAUUGGCAAUACAGAGCCGUUUUCAAGGAUACAAGCCUUGCAUGUGCGAUGUGGUGAACCAACCGGACCCAACACGGAUGGGCGACUUCUGCUGCUCCUGUGAUGUCCAGUCACAGGAUGGACACCUGAGAGAAACACCUUUCUACAGUGGGCCCACUGGGAUGCCCGGCAAAGGAAUCAAUCCAGCUGUCAGGCAAAUCGGCAAAGGCAAGUGACUGCCUUGGGAGCAACUAUGACAGAGGUUUUAAAAUACGUUCCUGAGCCAGGUCCAUUCUUACUACAAAUGGUAUCAGAAUUGUGUUUCACACGAGCAAUCCUGAGGUACUUCAUCUGAAUCAAGAGGAGACAAGUCUAAAUGAAUAUUUAAAAAUCUCUGUUUCCUCGUAUCAGAGAUCUUAUCCACUAUGGAAACUGCAUCUCAUUAAAGGACAUUUUAAAGCAUAUAGAGAGAGAGCAGGAAGGAGACAAUUAAUUCUGUAAUGAAGAUAAUGAGUUUAAGAAAGAAAGCAAGGUGACUAAAGAAAACCACUCUUUGUCUAAAUCUAAGGAAAUGAUGACUAUUGAAAAUACCAAUAAUGUCCUUUGGAUUUUUCCUUUGAGUUGUCAGACCACUCAUGUAAUUAUGUAUACAUUUAUUUAUUGGAAUUUUGGUGUAACUUUUAUUUGAAUAUAGUAAACAUACCUAAAGUGGACAUAGGAAAAU